AUGUUGUGCCCAGCAGAGGCAGUGCCUGUCUGUGAUGGCAGGAGGGCGGAAGUGCUCACACCUGGCUCCUGGUCCGGCUGCUCAGUGGGAGGCACACAGAAGCUGCCUGGGAAAGCCUUGCUCAUCUGUGCAGAGAGAGGAGAGCAGCUGGCUUGCGAGUCCCUCUGCAGGAUACAGUAUUCACUAUGUAGAGGGACACGGCGAGCUGGCGCUGGAGGAAGCUUCCAGAUCCUGCAGGGGCUGGACUGCUUAUCUCAACAGCAGCAGCCCCACAUCUCUGAAGUAGCAAAGCUAGAAGCUGUCAUUUCAAGGUUACUCCUCCAAAAUUGCCCUGACUUCUCCCGUGGUUAUCUCAGCAUUCACUGAUGUCAUCACACGUGGGCCUGUCCUGAGCUGGGCAGCUGUCAGUGAUGUACUCUCUGUCAUUAGAGAUGGGAGUGAAGGCAACCACGAUGAUCAUCUGGUUCUGGAGUCAGAUCUGAAUUUGACAUGAACUAAUUGUGUGAUCUUGGACAAAUCCUCUGACUCCACUGAGCCAGAUUCCUUGUCUAUAAAAUGGAGAAAUACCCAUAUAAGCCACCUUUGGUGACCAGAGCCUGGGUUACAACAACUGUUCAGAAGAAGCCAGCUAAACGACAGAGAUGACAUUUCUAAAUGUCACCUCCCACUGUUGUUGAGAGAAGAGAUUAAAAAACUACAGAUUUUGCUCACUGCCUGUUUUUGUAAAUAAAGAUGUAUGGAAACACAGCCACACCCAUUCAUUUACAUAUUUAUCCAUAGGUGGUGUCAUUCGAUAAAGCAGACCUGAGUAGCUGCAAAAGAGAGAGUAGAUCCUGCAAAAUUGCACGUAUUUACUACCUGGCUCUUUAUAGAAGAAACUUGACUGACCUCUUGUUUAGAAAAAAGUGCAUUUCUCUAGUUCUUUAAAAAACUUCAGGUAUUGGACUCGUCCAGGCUGGCCUUCUUGUAGGGCCAGCUCACUACAGCCUUCAGUGUGAAUAGUGCCCCUGGGUAUAUCACCCAUUGCCCUGCCCUCCUGCCAUUACUUGGGGAGCUGAUUCUUCAAGGUGGCAGGAGAAGCUCUCCUCUGGCCUUUCCUUAGGCUCAGCCCAGAUGAGGUUCUGUGUCACAGUCUGUGCUAGUACCAAGUUCUAUUUGUCCUCAAAAACAUCUGCCCCCAGAACAGAAGGUCUCCUCUCUGAGUUACUACUUCAUCGCAACAGUUCAAUUUGAUCCUAGUGAGAGGCAGAAUAAAGACUAUAAUAAGCUUCUUAUUUAAGAUUUUAUGAUUGGUCUUUAGAAAAAAUAGUAAUGAGGCAUAAAAAUGUUGAAUUUGGGGAGAAUUAACUUGUCAUGUAUCAAUAUUUUCUUUAAUAGGUUUCUUUCCUUCUAAUGUCUUUAAAAAUGUGGCCAUAUGGGGUGAUACUUGUGUAUAUGUGUUUGGGGAGGGCCUGCCACUGUAAGUGGAGUGCAAAGGGGUGGAGACUAAGGAACAAGAGAAAAGAUAAGAAGACUGUAAUAAAAAGGUAUAGGAUUGCAUUUAUAAAUUUAUGUCAAACUAACAUAUGUAUAAGUAAAAAAUUAAAAGGUCGACUAAAAAUGUUCAAACUUCUUUAAAAGAA
rnacentral:lncRNA from 1 species